rnacentral:rRNA from 1 species
CCCUUAGAUGUUCGGAGCUGCACGCGCGCUACACUGAAGGAAGCAGCGUGUUAGAGCACCUGGCUUGAAAGAGCUGGGUAAUCCGGUGAAUGUCCUUCGUGAUUGGGAUAGGGACUUGUAAUUAUUUCCCUUGAACGAGGAAUUCCUAGUAAGCGCGAGUCAUCAGCUCGUGCUGAUUACGUCCCUGCCCUUUGUACACACCGCCCGUCGCUCCUACCGAUUGAGUGCUCAGGUGAAUAAUUCGGACUGCAGCAAUGUUUGGAUCCCGAACGUUGCAGCGGAAAGUUUAGUGAACCUUAUCACUUAGAGGAAGGAGAAGUCGUAACA